AAACCAACAGGGAUUGCCUCAGUAACGGCGAGUGAAGCGGCAAAAGCUCAAAUUUGAAAUCUAGCACCUUCGGUGUUCGAGUUGUAAUUUGAAGAUGGUAACCUUGGGUUUGGCUCUUGUCUAUGUUCCUUGGAACAGGACGUCAUAGAGGGUGAGAAUCCCGUCUGAUGAGAUGCCCAUUCCUAUGUAAGGUGCUAUCGAAGAGUCGAGUUGUUUGGGAAUGCAGCUCUAAGUGGGUGGUAAAUUCCAUCUAAAGCUAAAUAUUGGCGAGAGACCGAUAGCGAACAAGUACAGUGAUGGAAAGAUGAAAAGAACUUUGAAAAGAGAGUGAAAAAGUACGUGAAAUUGUUGAAAGGGAAGGGCAUUAGAUCAGACUUGGUGUUUUACGAUUAUCUUCUCUUCUUGAGUUGUGCACUCGUAUUUCACUGGGCCAGCAUCGAUUCGGAUGGCAAGAUAAUGGCAGUUGAAUGUGGCUUCACUUCGGUGGAGUGUUAUAGCUUCUGCUGAUAUUGCCUGUCUGGAUCGAGGGCUGCGUCUUUGACU
rnacentral:rRNA from 1 species